AUCCAGCUGACGAGUCCCAAAUAGGACGAGACGCACUUCCUGGAU
rnacentral:hammerhead_ribozyme from 1 species